rnacentral:rRNA from 1 species
AGAAUCAACGCUGGCGGCGUGCCUAACACAUGCAAGUCGCACGAGAAAGGGGAGCAAUCCCUGGAGUAAAGUGGCGCACGGGUGAGUAACACGUGAAUAAUCUACCUCCGAGUGGGGAAUAACUGAGAGAAAUCUUAGCUAAUACCGCAUAACACUUACGAGUCAAAGCAGCAAUGCGCUUGGAGAGGAGUUCGCGGCCGAUUAGUUAGUUGGCGGGGUAAUGGCCCACCAAGACGAUGAUCGGGUA